rnacentral:tRNA from 90 species
GCGUUCGUAGCUCAACUGGAUAGAGCAACAGACUUCGGAUCUGUAGGUUAUGGGUUCAAUUCCUAUCGGGCGCACCA